GGGGACUUGUAUCAACGGCACCACGAGGGUUAGACUGUCUCCUUUUUCAAAUCAGUGAAAUUAAUCUCCCCGUGAAGAAGCGGGGAUACUCAUAUAAGACGAGAAGACCCCAUGGAGCUUCAAACCCAACUACACCCCUAGCUCUUAUAGCCCCACAACCCCCCUAGGCGCCGUGUGCUUGGUUUUAGGUUGGGGCGACCGCGGAGUACAAUAAAACCUCCACAAUGAAUGGGAACACCCCCUUAUCUGAGGGCCACACCCCCUAAGAAUUAGAACACUAACAUAAAAUGAUCCAUUACUUGAUCAAUGAACCAAGUUACCCUGGGGAUAACAGCGCAAUCCAUUUCAAGAGCCCCUAUCGACAAAUGGGUUUACGACCUCGAUGUUGGAUCAGGGUACCCCAGUGGUGCAGCAGCUACUAACGGUUCGUUUGUUCAACGAUUAAAACCCU
rnacentral:rRNA from 1 species